CCUACGGGGGGCUGCAGUAAGGAAUAUUGGUCAAUGGACGAAAGUCUGAACCAGCCAUCCCGCGUGCAGGAUGAAAGCCCUAUGGGUUGUAAACUGCUUUUAGCAGAGAAGAAAAGCUUUCAUUAAUGAGAGUCUGACGGUAUCUGCAGAAUAAGCACCGGCUAACUCCGUGCCAGCAGCCGCGGUAAUACGGAGGGUGCGAGCGUUACUCGGUAUUACGGGGUCGAAGGGGUGCGAUUACGGCGGUGGAGAAAUCUUGUCGCUUAACGAUACAAUUGCCCAUGAUCCUGGUACUCUUGAAUUGGGUUGAGGUUAGCGGAAUGUGACAUGUAGCGGUGAAAUGCAUAGAUAUGUCAUGGAACACCAAUUGCGAAGGCAGCUAACUGGGCCUUGAUUGACGCUGAGGCACGAAAGCGUGGGUAGCGAACAGGAUUAGAUACCCCAGUAGUC
rnacentral:rRNA from 1 species